rnacentral:rRNA from 1 species
AGUGAACGCUGGCGGCAGGCCUAACACAUGCAAGUCGAACGGCAGCACAAGAGAGCUUGCUCUCUGGGUGGCGAGUGGCGGACGGGUGAGGAAUGCAUCGGAAUCUGCCCAUUUGUGGGGGAUAACCUCGGGAAACCGGGACUAAUACCGCAUACGACCUACGGGUGAAAGCAGGGGAUCUUCGGACCUUGCGCAGAUGGAUGAGCCGAUGCCGGAUUAGCUAGUUGGAGGGGUAAAGGCCCACCAAGGCGACGAUCCGUAGCUGGUCUGAGAGGAUGAUCAGCCACACUGGGACUGAGACACGGCCCAGACUCCUACGGGAGGCAGCAGUGGGGAAUAUUGGACAAUGGGCGCAAGCCUGAUCCAGCCAUGCCGCGUGUGUGAAGAAGGCCUUCGGGUUGCAAAGCACUUUUGUUGGGAAAGAAAAGCAGCCGGUUAAUACCCGGUUGUCAUGACGGUACCCAAAGAAUAAGCACCGGCUAACUUCGUG